AGAUCCAGAUUCAAUCCCAGCUACUCAGCUCCGAUGCUGUUGCUUUUGACGACUGUGUAGUGAGUGCUAUAGUAUGAGAAGAAAGUAAGAAUGCAUUGCUUCUCUAAUCUUCUCCCGGUGUUCUUAGUCCGAAAAUCCUAACAUCCUGGAGUCUGGACUUGGAUCAAGUAAUGCGUACCAUUAAUGGCAGAGACCCAUCAGGAUGCCUUUCAAGUGUGAAGGAGCGGAGAAGGAAGGGAGGACCGUUCUUGCUACAGAUGCUGUUACUUUCAGGCACUCAGAGGUAGGUGAAAAUGAAAUCACAAAGUUGGCAGUCCUUUCCACGUGUCGUACAACUAACGGCUGUCCUCUGCGGCGUAAGCAUCAAGCAAAGCCUGGCACAGCUGUUCCUGCCGUCCUGUUGUCUUUUAUCUAUGGAGUGCUUUCCCCUUAAAGUGAAGGGAGCCUUUGAAAUGCUGCAAGCUGAGUGCCUCCUUUCCCAUCAUUCCACACCUAUGCCAAGUUCCAAGACUGGCUUUGAUGUGUAUCUAAAGUGGCUCAGCCCCCCGCUGUCAUUCCCUGGAUCCGGCUCACUCUGUGAAACUGUGAUAUGCUCAUCACCAUCCCACGUGAGGCGACCAGCUGCACAUGAACAAUGAGGACGUCCUUCUACAACUUCAAGGAGCUCGUGGAUUAUGCUGAUGGCCGCCAGAGGGUACAUUGUUGAGGGGACGUGACAUUUACGCACUUUGAAAUCACAGGAAACAUCACGCAGUGAACGUGUCUCUCAAAACUGUAGACCUUCAAUCUUCUGGAGUUUUGUUCUUGCCUUUGUUGAUGAUGGCAGCCAAUCUCAAGAGCUGCUAAAUUCAAAUGUCCGCUUCCCUAAAGUUGAAGAAUAAACCUAGCAUGAAAC
rnacentral:lncRNA from 1 species